ensembl:lncRNA
UAAUUCAUAAAGGUCAGUUCUAAAGGAACGGUUUGAAAUCUUUAAGAAACAGAGUGACCAAUUCAAUCCCCUGUUAGCAGUGAUGAACCCAGAUAUAAUGUCAGUAACAGUAUGAUGAAGGGGAUACAAAACAUCCUGGCAGUUUUAUGGCAAUAGUCCUCAUGACUAAUUAGUUUUCACUGGUCAAAGUACUUGAUUCACUAGACAAAUUUUAAGGAAAUAGAAAAAUAUCAUAAUUGGAAGGUACAAAGAUAAGCUGGAAAAGCCUCAUGUGAUCCUUAAUAUGUUGCUGGUCUGUUUUACCAGAAGGAAUUGGCAUUGAAUAUGUCAUGGACAAAAAUGGCUUUGAAGUUGCUUUAUGUUUUACAGGUUGUUUUGUAUCAGUGAUACUUGCUGAAAUGUUGAACCUACAACACAGUCCAAGGGAUUAAUGAUAGCACUGGCAUGUGCCCCUAAUUGAGUCUAUUCUGUUGUAACACCUACCAGAUGUUAUCUACAGAGAAGACUCAAUCAUUCUUCAAUUUACUUUGUAGCAUAAUGUACAUAUAUUUAAAAUGAUUUUAGCUAUAUUAACACAUCUGUAACUUUUUUUAUCCUUUUGAUACAUAACAGGCAUGAUAAAAGUACAUAGAAACAGCAAUAUUCUUUCAGGAAUGUGAAAGGCAACGGAAGGCAUCUAUAGUUAAGGCUUUGCAUGGUGUAUAGACUAACAAACCGGGUAUUUUAGAACUCACUGUGAUAACUUGACUACUUCAGACGUGUCCUGUAUCAACAGCACGUAUUAGAUAGGUCUGCACAACUCACAUUCAGCCCAUGAAGACGCUGUCAGUGAAGAUUGCUCUGAAAGUAAUGCCUUCUAUUUAAUUCUGUUGAUCCAUGACAUAAGAGGCAGAUGUUGGUAGCAUGGCAGUAGAGGUUGAACCUUCCCACCAAUAUCCUGUUAUAUUUUGUUGCAGUGUAACAGCUGGCAACAAAGGGGCAGUCUGACAAAACAGUGUCUUAUGGGGAAAUCCGUAUGAAGCAAAGAUGUGUCACUGAAUUCCUUCAUGCAGAAAAAAUGGUACCCGUUGACAUUCACUGAUGCUUACUGAAUGUUUAUGGAGACCAAGCAGAGGAUUGGAGUACAAUGAGGUGGUGGGUGGUGUAUUUCAGCAGUGGUGACAGUGACGUUGAAAGACAAGCCAUGUUCCAGAUGGUCAUACACAGCUGUCACAUCAAGAGAUGAAGAAAGUCUUGAUCAGCUCAUCCACAUGGAUCAGGAUCUCUGUACAGAGCUGAAUACUGGCUUAAAUGUGUUGGAAAUGGUGAUGGCAACAUUUGAAUAUCACUGAGUUUGUGCCAGGUGAGUCCCAUGAAUGUUCAAACAUGAACAAAGAGGAACAGAAAGAACACCAUAUGCAAGUUUGUUAGAACCUGUUGAACAGAUACAAGGCUGAAGGUGACAGCUCCCUGAAUUGCAUCAUUACUGGUGCCGAGAUGUAGUGUCACCACUAUGAGCUGGAGUCAAAAUGGCAGUCCAUGGAGUGGUGACAUGUGAAUUCCCCAUUGAGGAAAAAGAAGUUCAAGACACAGCCCUCAGAGUGAUGUGCACUGUGUUUUGGGAUAGUAAAGAAGUGAUCCUUCUGGAGCUUGGGCAAACCAUCAACUCUGACAGCUACGUCGUGAUGCUAUGUUGAAGGCUUGAACUUUCAGAGUCAGAUACGAGAAGAAGACAACUUUUCUGUUGCAACACAAUAACUCUUGAACCCACGCCAAUUAUAAAACUGUAGAGCACAUUGCCGGUCUUGGUCGGACUGUCCUACCACACCCACCACUGACUCUGAAUUUGGUGCUUUCUGAUUUUCAUCUGUUCAGACUGAUAAAAGGUGGACUGUGUGGGCAACAUUUUCCUAGCAAUGACUCAGUCAUAGCAGCUGUGAAACUGUGGCUGACCUCCUCUGGCGUAGAUUUUGACAAGUGUGGCAUGCAGGCUGUUGUUCAUUUAUGGAAAAAAUACAUAGCUAAUGCUGCUAGCUAUGUUGAAAAAUAGUGCACUGUGGCUGAGAAUUUGUUCUAUCAAACUGUGUUAUUGUACUCUUUGUAGCUGUGGUGGUUUCCGUGGAAAUGGAAACCCUCCUGGACUCCUACCUGUGAAGCCUGCUGUAGGAGGCCUGCUUUGCAGAGAGUUGGACUAGGUGAUCAGGUGUCCUCCAACCCCUACAAUUCUGUGAUCCCGUGAAAUAAACAGGAGGUAAUACUUUUGGAGCUUUAGGAAUACAUCUUGCUUUGAUAGCAUCCUCAAAUUGGAAACUUGUCUCUGCUUUACACCUGGCUUUGAGACACAUGAUACUUGUGUGGGAAUAUAAGAAAGACUAUUCAGAGUAGACACUGUGGAGCAAAAUAAACAGCACGAGAAAGCAAGGCUGAGAACCAAGGACAUCUCUAGAAGAAGAGAAAAGCAAAAGAAAUGGCCCAUGGCUCUGAUUGGAUAAGCACCUUUAUGCACAGAUAAGG